rnacentral:rRNA from 1 species
UACGUAGGGGGCAAGCGUUGUCCGGAAUUAUUGGGCGUAAAGCGCGUGUAGGCGGCUCGGUAAGUCUGCUGUGAAAGUCCAGGCUCAACCCUGGAACGCCGGUGGAUACUGUCGAGCUCGAGUCCGGAAGAGGCGAGUGGAAUUCCUGGUGUAGCGGUGAAAUGCGCAGAUAUCAGGAGGAACACCAAUGGCGAAGGCAGCUCGCUGGGACGGUACUGACGCUGAGACGCGAAAGCGUGGGGAGCAAACAGG